UUGGGUGUGACUGCGUACCUUUUGUAUAAUGGGUCAGCGACUUAUAUUCUGUAGCAAGGUUAACCGAAUAGGGGAGCCGGAGGGAAACCGAGUCUUAACCGGGCGUUAAGUUGCAGGGUAUAGACCCGAAACCCGGUGAUCUAGCCAUGGGCAGGUUGAAGGUUGGGUAACACUAACUGGAGGACCGAACCGACUAAUGUUGAAAAAUUAGCGGAUGACCUGUGGCUGGGGGUGAAAGGCCAAUCAAACCGGGAGAUAGCUGGUUCUCCCCGAAAGCUAUUUAGGUAGCGCCUCGUGAAUUCAUCUCCGGGGGUAGAGCACUGUUUCGGCUAGGGGGCCAUCCCGGCUUACCAACCCGAUGCAAACUGCGAAUACCGGAGAAUGUUAUCACGGGAGACACACGGCGGGUGCUAACGUCCGUCGUGAAGAGGGAAACAACCCAGACCGCCAGCUAAGGUCCCAAAGUCAUGGUUAAGUGGGAAACGAUGUGGGAAGGCCCAGACAGCCAGGAUGUUGGCUUAGAAGCAGCCAUCAUUUAAAGAAAGCGUAAUAGCUCACUGGUCGAGUCGGCCUGCGCGGAAGAUGUAACGGGGCUAAACCAUGCACCGAAGCUGCGGCAGCGACACUGUGUGUUGUUGGGUAGGGGAGC
rnacentral:rRNA from 1 species